rnacentral:lncRNA from 1 species
GCUGAGAAGCCUCUGAGGCCAGGCAGCCCUCUUUAGCUCUGCCGUGGUCAGUCUGCAACUGGAGUUCCUGGCUUUCAGUUUCCAGCAGUUCUGGAGCUCUCCCUUUCAGGAGCCCUCUCUGCAGAGGGCCCGAGGCCUUCGCAGCCGCAUCCGGGGGGAUGGCCCAGCACUGAGCCCCGAUGACUGGCCUGGAGCGCAGCUGACCUCAGACUCAAACCUCCACAAGGCCGCAGACAGCAGAGAGCAGGGCAAGCCCCAGACUGCACGGCUGGGACCCCAAGAUAGACAUUACAAGAAGGCGGCCUUUCCCCACAAUAAGGAAGCCCUGUGUAAAGCUGCAGAUGGGGCUCCUGUAAAGGAGCUCACGUCCUUUCUCUGGGAGACUGCAAGCAGGGGCAGAACAUUCUGGAAAAGAAGCCUCAGUGGGAAGUUGGAGUCAGUCGACUUUGCAGUCCCACUCGAGGUGGUCAGAUCUGGGUCCAUGGCUGGGCUGAGUUAACUUACAGAGGGAGGGAGGGUCCCAGCCUGCAGGCGCAGCCUCAAAGCCUCCUGCCCUGCAGGGCAUUCCCAAGCAGCUUUUAUCUGGGGCUUUGAAGGGAGAACAAUAAUCCCACGCUUCAACCAAAACAUCUUGUAGUGGGGCCUCAGCCUUUGAACACACCCUUGAUCCUUCCCGCCACCCUGAGGCUCCUGGGGACUCCUCGGCUGGAAGUGGGGGGCGGUGGAGGCUUGCCCAACACCUGCCCCAGCCCCAGCUGGGGUGCCUCAGGCCCCUGUCAGGAGCAACUGGCAGCUGGGACCAUCUGAUCUGCUUUCCCGUCGCUUGGAAUCCUCUGUAACAGCCGUGACUUCCUGGGGGUCCAUAAAGGAACUGCAAGAGACCACGGUCGCCUGGAUGCCUCUCCAAGAUGUCAUCUUAGGAGCAGUGACAUUUCAGAUGAAGCCAUUUAGUCUCCAUCAGCCAGUGAGACAGUGUGCACAAGUCCAGUGAAUAAGCCUCCAGCUCUGGCUUGAAAUAAAGCGGAGACACCUCUACCUGAUGGGAUGCGGAGACUGCUAACUCCUCUGACUUUUAAGGUCCCUGGACCAGAGCUCUCAGAGCAGGUUUGCUAACUGGAGGUGUUGAAGCUAAGGCAAAGUGAUCUCUUGUAAAAGAUACCACAGAGAGGGCUUCUAGCUGGGGACACACACACACACACACACACACACUCACUCCUGGGACAAGUUCCCUUCUAGGACAUGAACCCUAUCUGAUUCCACUUGGUACUCCUAGUACUGAGUUCAGGGCCUACACAAGGCAGUUGCUCAAUAAAGAAUUGGCGAUGCAUGAAUGAGGAAACGAAAGAAUAAACACUCAUAAAAGCCACUGAG